UACAGAGGGUGCAAGCGUUAAUCGGAUUUACUGGGCGUAAAGGGUGCGUAGGCGGUUUGGUAAGUCUCGUGUGAAAUCUCCGGGCUCAACUCGGAGCCUGCACGAGAAACUGCCGGGCUUGAGUGUGGGAGAGGUGAGUGGAAUUCCUGGUGUAGCGGUGAAAUGCGUAGAUAUCAAGUGGAACACCAGUGGCGAAGGCGAGUCUCUGGACAUUUCCUGACGCUGAGGCACGAAAGCCAGGGGAGCAAACGGG
rnacentral:rRNA from 1 species